rnacentral:RNase_P_RNA from 1 species
CCAGACGGCUGGAUGGCCGCUGCCGCCGUGGGCCAUGUUCGCGGCGGUGGAGGAAAGUCCGGGCUCCACGGGAAGACGGUGCCGGGUAACGCCCGGCGAGAGCGAUCUCAGGGACAGUGCCACAGAGAACAGACCGCCGCAGGCCUCGGGGAAACCUGGGCUGCGGCAAGGGUGAAACGGUGCGGUAAGAGCGCACCGCGGGGCCGGUAACGGUCCCGGCACGGCAAACCCCACCGGGAGCAAGACCAGAUAGGAGAAUGGGGCCGGGCAACCGGUCCAGGCGCCUUCCCGCGCCAGAUUCUCGGGUAGGUCGCGCGAGGCGUCCGGCGACGGGCGUCCCAGAGGAAUGGCUAUCCACGGGCGGCAACGCCCCGGACAGAACCCGGCUUACAGGCCGUCUGGCACG